rnacentral:rRNA from 1 species
CCUCAAAGAGGGGGACAACAGUUGGAAACGACUGCUAAUACCGCAUAAGCCCACGGGUCGGCAUCGACCAGAGGGAAAAGGAGCAAUCCGCUUUGAGAUGGCCUCGCGUCCGAUUAGCUAGUUGGUGAGGUAAUGGCCCACCAAGGCAACGAUCGGUAGCCGGACUGAGAGGUUGAACGGCCACAUUGGGACUGAGACACGGCCCAGACUCCUACGGGAGGCAGCAGUGGGGAAUAUUGCACAAUGGGGGAAACCCUGAUGCAGCGACGCCGCGUGGAGGAAGAAGGUCUUCGGAUUGUAAACUCCUGUUGUUGAGGAAGAUAAUGACGGUACUCAACAAGGAAGUGACGGCUAACUACGUGCCAGCAGCCGCGGUAAAACGUAGGUCACAAGCGUUGUCCGGAAUUACUGGGUGUAAAGGGAGCGCAGGCGGGAAGACAAGUUGGAAGUGAAAUCCAUGGGCUCAACCCAUGAACUGCUUUCAAAACUGUUUUUCUUGAGUAGUGCAGAGGUAGGCGGAAUUCCCGGUGUAGCGGUGGAAUGCGUAGAUAUCGGGAGGAACACCAGUGGCGAAGGCGGCCUACUGGGCACCAACUGACGCUGAGGCUCGAAAGUGUGGGUAGCAAACAGGAUUAGAUACCCUGGUAGUCCACACCGUAAACGAUGAAUAGUAGGUGUUGGAGGAUUGACCCCUUCAGUG